rnacentral:rRNA from 1 species
GGGGGGGGGGGGGGGGGGGGGGGGGACAGGGGGGGGGGGGGGGUGAAGGGGGGGGGCGCCGGGCUUCAGGGGGGGACGGUUGAGGAAGGCCUAGGAGGCUGCCUGGUCGUGGGGGGUCACGUCGGGAAGCGGGCGCUAAUACCGCAUCCGGCCUGGGUUAGGAGGGGGGGGAUAUUCGGACCUCACGCUAUCAGAUGACACUAGGUCGGAUUAGCUAGUUGGUGGGGUAAAGGCCUACCCAGGCGACGAUCCGUAACUGGUCUGAGAGGAUGAUCAGUCACACUGGAACUGAGACACGGUCCAGACUCCUACGGGAGGCAGCAGUGGGGAAUAUUGGACAAUGGGCGAAAGCCUGAUCCAGCCAUGCCGCGUGUGUGAAGAAGGUCUUCGGAUUGUAAAGCGCUUUAAGUUGGGAGGAAGGGCAGUAAGUUAAUACCUUGCUGUUUUGACGUUACCAACAGAAUAAGCACCGGCUAACUUCGUG